rnacentral:rRNA from 1 species
UGCGCAGGCGGUGAGUUACGUCGUGUGUGAAAGCCCCCGGCUCAACCGGGGAGGGUCGCGCGAAACGGGCUCACUGGAGGCAAGGCGAGGUCGGUGGAAUUCCCGGUGUAGUGGUGAAAUGCGUAGAGAUCGGGAGGAACACCAGAGGCGAAGGCGGCCGACUGGACUUGACCUGACGCUGAGGCACGAAGGCGUGGGGAGCGAACG